rnacentral:sRNA from 1 species
GACAGAGGAAGGCAGCUUAAGAUCGCAGCAUCCUGUCGCAACAGCUGCAUGACCCACGUCGUGUGGG